rnacentral:rRNA from 1 species
GAUCAUGGCUCAGGAUGAACGCUGGCGGCGUGCCUAACACAUGCAAGUCGAACGGACUUACAUUGAAGCCUAGCGAUAUGUAAGUUAGUGGCGGACGGGUGAGUAACGCGUGGGUAACCUGCCUUGUACUGGGGGGACAACAGUUGGAAACGACUGCUAAUACCGCAUAAGCGCACAGCUUCGCAUGAAGCAGUGUGAAAAACUCCGGUGGUACAAGAUGGACCCGCGUCUGAUUAG